rnacentral:tRNA from 1 species
UCAAAAACAGUCUAAGAAGAUACUAACUUUGGAAGUUAGAGGCUGAGGAAUCUCAUUUUUGAA